UGCCCAGCAACUCCUAUCCCUACCUCCACGCGGUACCGGCCGGAACCUAUGAGCAACCUUAGGGAAGAUCGGGUAACCAACCCCGGUGGGAACUUUGGUCGUAGGCUGACAGGUAAGG
rnacentral:ribozyme from 1 species